GUGCUCCCUUCGGCAGCAUAUACACUAGAAAUCGGAAUGACACAGAGAUUAGCAUGGCCCCUGAGCAAGGAUGAUAGGCAAAUUCAUGAAACAUUCCUUUUUUUU